rnacentral:lncRNA from 1 species
AGACGGGGUUUCACUGUGUUAGCCAGGCUGGUCUCGAUUUCUUGACCUCGUGAUCCACCUGCCUCGGCCUCCCAAAGUGCUGGGAUUACACGCGUGAGCCGCCAUGCCCAGCCAGAAACGCAUCUUUUUCUACAUAGUUGCUGUUGCUGAUGCAAAGAAGUCUCGCGAAUUCAAUCCAAAUAAUUCCACUGCUGUGCUGAGAAAAGGGAUAUGUGAAUACCAUUUAAAAAACUAUGCUGCUGCUCUAGAAACUUUUAUAGGAGGACAAAAAUUAGUGCAGAUGCUAAUUUCAGUGACUGGAUUAAAAGGUGUCAAGAAGCUCAUGUCUAUGAGUGGCUGAGAGACCUGUUUAAUUCUGGGGUAUAGAAUUAAGAUGGCCACCUGCCUGCAAGUAGAGAUAAGCUGCAUUCUCCCAAAUCAACUUUGUUCAUAA